AUUAAUGUAACAGGAACAUGUAACACACACAUUAAUGCAGCAGGAAUAUUAAUACAGAAACAUAAGAUAUAAUAGUGAAACACUAACAGGGAAAAUUUACUGCAAAAUUAAUAUUUUUUACUUUCAUACUUUUAAAUACAUAUUGCUGAUUAUACUCACAUACUUUUCCUUUUACUAUGUAAGGAUUUGAAUGCAGUACUUUAACUUGUAGUGGAGUCUUUUCACAGUGUGGUAUUAGUACUUUUACUGAAGUAAACUACUGAAUACUUCACUGUAUUUCUCUGGAUGUGUUUCAGUGUCUCUGUGUUACCUGACAGCAGCCAUCUCCUCCUCAGUGAACUGACGACCCGCCGCAUCACUCAGCAGCCAAACUAACAGGGUCACACACACGGGAGCGGGAUACAGGAAAUUGAAUAAAACACAAAGAAGUGAAGAAAAACACACGAGCACAGUUCGUCUUCGUACUUCGAUGUCAAGAGUUCCAGCAUUAGUCCCGUCUUCCUGUUUCCCAAGCGUUUGAUUCCCCGGCUUCCUCGACCUUGUUUCCGUGACUCGAUUCUGCCCUUGCCUGAUCCUUGUCUGCUGUACUGCUACGCUGAGUAUCUGCCCGUGUACCAAACCUGUUUCCGUGACCCGACUCUGCUCCUGGAUUACCCCUUGAUAAUUUGUAUGAUCAACUGUCUAUGCGUGUACCAUAGCAACUGCAAAGUUUUCAGUAAAGACUAUUCCCAUUCAACACUUAUCUGACUCUGUGUCGUGCAAUUGAGUCACACCUCCCUUCUGUCUUGAUCGUACCGUUACAGGGUGCUGGUGAAUGGUUGGCCGGUGGUAACCAUCCAAGGUGGAUCACUUGGAAGUGCAGGAUGAGGUCAGCUGAUGGUGGAUGAUGUUGAUUUUGGUGUCAAAGAAUUGCAGGAAGUCGUCGUGGUGGUGGUUGGAGACAUCUGGAGGGAGAGUUGUAGCAGGUUGAAGUAGGUGGCUGACUGUUG
rnacentral:lncRNA from 1 species